GAUGAACGCUGGCGGCGUGCCUAAUACAUGCAAGUCGAGCGAACAGGCGAGGAGCUUGCUCCUCUGACGUUAGCGGCGGACGGGUGAGUAACACGUGGAUAACCUACCUAUAAGACUGGGAUAACUUCGGGAAACCGGAGCUAAUACCGGAUAAUAUAUUGAACCGCAUGGUUCAAUAGUGAAAGACGGUUUUGCUGUCACUUAUAGAUGGAUCCGCGCCGCAUUAGCUAGUUGGUAAGGUAACGGCUUACCAAGGCAACGAUGCGUAGCCGACCUGAGAGGGGGAUCGGCCACACGGGAGCUGAGACACGGUCCAGACUCCUACGAGAGGCAGCAGUAGGGAAUCGUCCGCAAUGGGCGAAAGCCUGACAGAGCAACGCCGCGUGAGUGAUGAAGGUCUUCGGAUCGUAAAGCUCUGUUAUUAGGGAAGAACAAAUGUGUAAGUAACUAUGCACGUCUUGACGGUACCUAAUCAGAAAGCCACGGCUAACUACGUG
rnacentral:rRNA from 1 species